UAGAGUGGCCAUACCACCCUUAACACGCCUGAUCUCGUCCGAUCUUGGAAGCUAUGAAGGGUCGCGCCUGGUUAGUACUUGGAUGUGAGACUGCCUGGGAAUACUAAAUAUUCAUGGUCUAU
ensembl:rRNA 5S_rRNA 5S ribosomal RNA